rnacentral:sRNA from 1 species
GCUAACAAAGGUUAUCCAUGAUCUCCACGGAAAUAACUCAGAGUGGAAACAAGGAGGGCGCGUUUGCUAUCCACUACACAAGAAAUUACGUCAGUAAGAAAGAUCCUUUCCUUAACCCUGUGACAUUCCAUGUGUUGCAAACACGGGUGAUUCUGAGUCAGGGCUUUCGGUGGGAGCCGGAAGAGGCUAAGGAAAUUGACGGUCAUCUGAAGACUCGUGAAGGCCUAGAAAGAAUAAGCACUGUUGGCAGGGCUUCAUCCUCUGGCUGGUAAGCUUCUUCUGACUUUCAGGCAGGAGAACCUAUGUGCUUAACGUACAGACCUCUAAAGUGUUCUUGUGACCCUACAACUGGAUCCCAUCUAAGAUAUUGACUCAAGAGAAGAUUGAACCACACUACCUCAUAGGACAAAGACUCAGGGGCUGCCCUCUGUCAGAUCCUCCAUAAGUCACUGACGGCAAAGACCAGCCCCAGUCUUCAGAGGUGGGGUUGUACUGAACUCUGAAUGGCAGAGGUGAGAACCAUGGUGGAUCUCCUAUCAUAGAUGGAUUGCACAUUGGGAGCCUUCCUUCAGGUGCAGCCUAGCUUACCAAACAGUGAAAUCAUUCACUGGAGAAUUUGCAUAUGGAAUACAGAUAAACUGCACGGAGGAGACGCAGAGGCUGAGAUUGACAGGGAACUGCAGUCUGGAUACUUCACGAUGGGGACCGUCUGGAUGGUGGACAGAUGCUGCUAGACUCUGCUGAUGCAAUUAUGAGCAUUCCUAGGCAAUAUGCACGUUCAGGUGUGGACUUGGUGCUGCAAAUCGCCUUGUGAAACUCACGUGGCUUCGGCCACAGGGUGCGUGAAGGCUGAGGUAUUCCCUGGUGGUGCAUGCAAAUACUUUGAGCUCAGCUUUACAUCGCUGAAUGAUGGCAUAAUAUCUUUAACUCUCGGUAACAAUGUGUGCUUAGAGAAUCAUGUCUGAGUUUCGCAUUAAGCAACCCUAAGACUAGCAAGUUCAUCGGGGCAGCCUUGCAUAUUUCGGCAGAUCCUGUGGUCUCUGCAGAUGAAAACAUCACUCAUGAUUACAGUGAUUGCCCUAAACCCAGAGACAGCCUAUUCUGUCCACUCAUCUAGCAGGAUGUGUGGAGGGUCACAUUACACUGAAAUGAGGAAGUUAUUAAAAUAAGAUUUUCACUGAAGAGCCCCCCCAAAGACAGCUUCGUUCCCAGGCUUUUGGCUCAAGGACUCUGCUCACUGAUCUCUGGGUGAUGGCUGACCUUAAGUUGAGUGCUUUAACCCUUUUCUUCUCAUGACAGUGAAAACAAAUGUUAGGGUUAAAAUGAAUGUAAGGGGAAAUGACACCAGGCAGGCAGGGUUUAGACAGGAGUAAUUGAAGAACUGUAUCUGACCCUUCGUAGCUCUGUCUGCACACUGUCAGAACACACCUCAAUGUUUAAGCGUCCUUGACACUGCAGCUAAGUUUUUCCCCUCUGUGUCAGAACCUCGAGCUCCAGGGCAUUCUCCCACGUGUGUACUAACAAGAACGGUAUACUUCCUGGAAAGCAUUGUGGUUUUGACAUACUUACUGUUCAUGGAGAGCAUGAGAGGAAAUGCCCCAAGACUGACCUGGUCUAUCAUGAUGUGUGAAAGCAAAGGAGUCAGCUUACCAUGAAUAAGCCGCCCACCUCAUGCAUAUUCAUGAAUAUUCUGACUCUACCACUGGGAGCCCACUAGGCUGGUCCUUGCUUUGGGCAACUCCAUCCUUUUUUUUGGAGAGUUUGUUUGUAUUUGCUCAUUGAACUUCUGCUCAGUGUCUUUGCCUCUCGACUAAAUUAUUCCCUUCAAGAAGACAAGAAUAGAAAACCCCACAGCCUGCCCCAGACCUCCAUAACAUCUCCUUCUCUGACUUAUUUUAUUUAUUUAUAUUUGUCUGUGUGUGAUGCUGAGGGUUAUAUCUAGGGCUCUAUACUCCCUAGGUAUGCAUGCUACCUCUGAGACAUCUCUAGCUCUGUCUGAUCCCGUUUUAACAUCUCCAUGCAGUGCUCUCUGUGAAGGUAGGAUUUAUGGUGAAUAUAAUAUCAACAAAAAUAUUAACAACAUUGCUUUCCAAAAGGAGAUGUUUUCCAGUGUAACAUAACCUAAGAGUGGAAACUUGGUGCUUAAGAAUUGUGAGCUCAGUGACCUUUACGUGGAUUAUUUUAUCAAAGAGUCACGACUCUCCAUAACCUUAUGUGGAUUCAGAAAUACAUUGACAUUGCCUCAGACAGUAAACUGCUUACCUUACAAACAAAAAGACCUGAGUCUGAUGCACAGAACCCCCACUACCCACGUUAGUUUUGAGCUCAGGCAGGAAAAUAAGAAGGUGUCAUCUAGGAUAGUGUUCCUAUCCUAGAUGGCUGCAUGAGCCAUCUAAGGGGUGAUAUGCAGAAGGCUUCAGGUUCUAGGACCUCUGGUGAGGGGAAGAAAGUCACAAAUGUAUUCUGAGCAAACAAGCAAGUGGCCAAAGGUGUCCUGAGCCAUCGUGUCAGCAUGUAUAAUAAGACUGGCGAAGGUUUGGAAGCUUCCUGGCCACAUGUCCUUUCCCCAGCCCUAUCACAUUCAGCAUCUGACUAACUCCUGCUUGAGUCAGAGCAGCAGCAACUCAAUGCAUAUGCUUCCCAGACUCAACUUGGGUUGCUUAUCCCGAGCAAGCUCUUCUAGACACUCAUCAGCAAGGACAAUGUUGCCCCUAUGUGUCCUUGUCACCUCAGAUGAAUGUUCCCACCUUGUGAAAAGAGACAGUGGGCCAAGAACCUCAUUCUUUGUGAGGCGUAGAGCCAAACAGGACAGCAAAUACCUUGUUACAACCUGGUGAUGGACGUUCCUCAGAACGCCAGCUAAAGAGGAGUCAGGCAGGUAAAGGAACCAUGUGUCUCUGAGCUCAGUGAACAAGGGCCAGUCUCUGUCACAUGGAUCUGCAGAAUAGAAGUCUAAGGUUUCCAUACUGCACACAGUCAGGAGUGUGCUGUGCUGGGUAGACAGAAGGGCAGGGGCUCUGAGAGACACUGGCUGAAUGUAGAAGACACAUACAGUCUUCUGCAGUCUCCACCCACGACCCACUCAAGUGUUCACAGCCAGUGAGUAGCAUCCAGACAAGUGUUAUCUGGGGGCAGGGAGUAACAAAUUUAAAAUACUUAAGAAAAACAUUAGAAUUUUAAGAAUCCCUCUUGAUGAAUCAUUCAUGUGCUCACUCACUGACCAAACUACCACACAUUCCCUGAGGUUGAGAGCCUCCUUAUGUGUGACUGUGUUCAGUCCAACUCCAUGAUUGGAUGCUGCUGCCCCUUAUCCAGACAGCUCCUAGCAUUAGAGGAAGGGUGUAAGUGUAAUUUAUGCUCUAUGUUCAAGUGCAUUCAAUUAAUGUUAAAGUUUCAUGGAUGGUCAAUAAAUAAAAAAACAGGUUAUUGAUUAUAAA